rnacentral:lncRNA from 1 species
GCUGAGGGUGUUGGAUACGGUACCUGCUGACGUGGAGAGCUCACCAUCAUUGCAUCAACUAUGUGAGUUAUUUCAUUUAAGAUAUCUUGCUAUUAACUAUAUGGAAUCUAUUCCUAAGGGAUUAUCGAUGCUUAAGAAUCUGCAAACCUUAAUCAUUGAUAGAGAAAGGCGAGAAAAAUUCUUUGUUGGAGUAGUUUGUAAUCUUGUGUUGGGUUGGGACACGCCACAACUAAGACAUGUUCACUUUCACGGCACAAUCUGUUUUGAGGAUCCAAAUGAAACAACUCUCUCUCUAGAAAGCCUACAAACACUGUCCUAUGUGUCACAUUCGAAUUGCACUGAAA